GGGGACAUAGCUUAAUCUGGUAGAGCGCCUGUUUUGCAUACAGGAGGUUGUCGGUUCAAAUCCGAUUGUCUCCA
rnacentral:tRNA from 1 species